rnacentral:rRNA from 1 species
GACGAACCGAGCGAACGUUAUUCGGAAUCACUGGGCUUAAAGGGUGCGUAGGCGGGCCCGUCAGUCAGGGGUGAAAUCCCACGGCCCAACCGUGGAAGUGCCUCUGAUACUGCGGGCCUGGAGGGGGAUAGGGGCGUGCGGAACUUCCGGUGGAGCGGUGAGAUGCGUAGAUAUCGGAAGGAACACCGGUGGCGAAAGCGGCGCGCUGGAUCCCUACUGACGCUGAGGCACGAAAGCCAGGGGAGCAAACGGG